GUGCCAGCCGCCGCGGUAAUUCCAGCUCCAAUAGCGUAUACUAAAGUUGUUGCAGUUAAAAAGCUCGUAGUUGAAUUUCUGGUCUUGGAUUUCGGUCUGCCUCAAACGAGGUAUGUACCAGGGCAUCUGAGACCAUCCUCGCAGGGAAAACAUAUCUGUCAUUAAGUUAAUGGGUAUGGGAUCCUCGUCAUUUACUGCUGAGCAAAAUAGGGUGUUCAAAGCAGGCUUAUGCCGUUGAAUACAUUAGCAUGGAAUAAUAAGGAUAAGCACCUUGGCCUAUUUUGUUGGUUUGUACUCCAAGGUAAUGAUUAAUAGGGAUAGUUGGGGGUAUUCGUAUUCAAUUGUCAGAGGUGAAAUUCUUGGAUUUAUGGAAGACGAACUACUGCGAAAGCAUUUACCAAGGAUGUUUUCAUUACUCAAGAACGAAAGUUAGGGGAUCGAAGAUGUAUUAGAUACCAUCGUAGUCUUAACCCAUAAACUAUGCCGACUAGGGAUUGG
rnacentral:rRNA from 1 species